GGUCUAUUUUGAGGCAGCAGUGGGGAAUUUUUCGCAAUGGGCGAAAGCCUGACGGAGCAACGCCGCGUGAGGGAUGAAGGCCUUUGGGCUGUAAACCUCUUUUCUCAAGGAAGAAGAAUUGACGGUACUUGAGGAAUAAGCCCCGGCUAAUUCCGUGCCAGCAGCCGCGGUAAUACGGGAGUGGCAAGCGUUAUCCGGAAUUAUUGGGCGUAAAAGCGUCCGCAGGCGGCCUUGUAAGUCUCUGGUGAAAACCCUGGAGCUCAACUCCAUUUGAGCGAUGGAAACUACAAGGCUGGAGUGUGGUAGGGGCAGAGGGAAUUCCCGGUGUAGCGGUGAAAUUGCUAGAUAUCGGGAAAAACACCAGUGGGGAAGGGGCUCUGCUGGGCCAUAACUGACGCUCAUGGACGAAAGCCAGGGGAGCGAAAGCGAUUAGAUACCCCUGUAGUCCUGGCCGUAAAAGAUGAACACUAGGGGUCGGGGGAAUCGACCCCCUCGGUGUCGUAACUAACGCGUUAAGUGUCCGCCUGGGGAGUACGCACGCAAGUGUGAAACUCAAAUGAAUUGGCG
rnacentral:rRNA from 1 species